AUAGUGUGUCAACCAUCUGUCUGUACUACAGCUGUUGAGUGCCAUGAUAGGCAAGCUGGGGAACAUGGACGACAACCCUCUACCACAGGAGUCCUUCCAGGGAGUAGAAGACGAUGAGUGGGGUGACUAGUGUGUGUUGCCUUGCGGACCAAUCAGGGUCCAGCAGUAGCCAAGGGCCUGUUGGACUGAAACGUGUCAUUCCUGUGUGCCACUGAUGUGUCCUAUGUCAAAAGAACAUCUCUCAAACGCAUAACAUUAACCUGUCAUGAGGGUUGUAAAAUUCUGUCAACAAAAUGUCUAGGUUUUCCAGAAAUACCAAUUGGAGAAUUCUUGGAUUUCCUGCUUGUUUUCCUGGGAAUUUUAGGGAAAGUUACCAGACUUUUGCAGCCUUACCUCCCAUAUCCUCGUAUCAUCCUCUAAUACUCUGAGUACGUAGAUGUUGCCUCUAACCAUUGACUGAAUCAGGAUCAGAUAUGUUUUCCUCCCCAUAAUGUUUAAAGGUAGGACUGGGGUUUGGGAAUCUGAUCCUAGGUCUGUUGUUAAAGGCAACCUCACCCCAAUUUGACCUUUGACUUGCAGCUGCCUUGUACUGUAAAUAGCUAACAUUCCUACCAGGCUAGAUAGUUAAAUGACUCCCAACACUCCCUUACAACCCAGCCCUUACCGCCAUACUGGAUGGACACCUGUGUGUCUGUCACCACUCCUAACCUUACACCUGUGUGUCUGUCACCACUCCUAACCUUACACCUGUGUGUCUGUCACCACUCCUAACCUUACACCUGUGUGUCUGUCACCACUCCUAACCUUACACCUGUGUGUCUGUCACCACUCCUAACCUUACACCUGUGUGUCUGUCACCACACCUAACCUUACACCUGUGUGUCUGUCACCACUCCUAACCUUACACCUGUGUCAUAAUAAUAAUGACUAGACCACUGCUUGAUUUUUUAUGGGCCAAUAUGAACCAUAGUCCAUAAUCUUCAGUAACUAUGAAAAAGUCAAACGCAUGUUCCUGAAUACAGUAUCUAUGGUCUUCCAGAUUUACCACCUCCUAUGCAUCACUAUACAUUAACACACACACACACACACACACAAAGACUCACACUCCACCUGGAUAUCCCAUCUGGUAUCCCCAUACGGCCUCAACAAGCACACAGCAAACACACACAGACAGGGUACAACAGGGUAAACAGCCUUCAGGUUAAAGCAUGGCUGGCUUCUAUUGAUAGGAAGAGAAUAUUGUUUUGUUGUUUAGGUAGCUUCAUUCUCUGGCCAGUGAUAAAGACCUACUAACAGUCCUGUACCACUCCAGGGUCGUGUUCAUUAAUCACCAAAUGGGCAAAAACAACCUCAAACAGGGAGGGAUUACCUGGAUUUUCGUUUUCCGUUGCAAAGCAUUUCAAAACGUUUUCCGUUGCGUGCCGUAAUGAACGUGACCCAGGUGCAUAUCUUAGUUCAGCCAGCAGAUCUUGGGAGAUAAUUUAUAGCAUCGGGGCUGCGCUCUGUUUUGGGGUUACUCUUAAAAUGUGUGUGACGUUCUUCCAUGUGGGUGUCAUGUAUUGACAAGCCAACCCCCCCCUGUGGGAGUUGUACAGGAGUGUGUCUGUGGAUCUCUGGGGUUGUAAUGUGGUGGGAAGUAGCUGUACCUUUCUUUCUACAUUGAUAGACUGUAGAACUGGAAUUCCUGUACCUCAUAUGUUAACACUUCGUCUUAAGACUGUUAUUGAAGUAUUCCUCACUAAAGGAGCUCAUUCUUUUAUUAUACUGUUGUUACCUUUUCUUAAUAACUUACAGUAUUAUUGCUAUAUGAUGCAAUCACAGAAGCCAUGAUCAAGACUAGUACAGCACACGGCAAUACUUUUAAUAGGCUGAUCCAAGUCUGAUCGAACCAAUCAUGUUGUUUACAAUGACAGAAAGACUGGAACCAACCAAGCAUUCUUGAAUAGUAGUCAGACUCACUGAGUUUACACAGGCAGUCCAAUUCUGUCGUGUUUCUUUAAUUGGUCUUUAAACCAAUCAGAUAAGAGCUUUUUGCCAGUACUUGGGCAAAAUAUCAGAAUUGGGCUGCCUGUGUAAACGCAGCCAUUGUGGAGUACUUGAAAAGUGAACAGACACCAAUGCAUUGACUGUAGGGCCUAGAUAUUGUUGGUGCCAGUGAUUGUGUGUUUGUCAUGUGUUUUGUGCCUGCAAUCUCUCAGAUGUCUUACAUUGUUCUUUGGGAAAUUAACAAAAAGAAACAUCUCUUUUAUACUUUGAAUAAAGCAUUAUUUCUCUGUCCGUCUUAUGAAUAAUGGUUUUGUGGGAAUGUUCAUGUUGCCUUGCAAUAAACAACUGUUUGAACCUUGUA